UACGGAGGGAGCUAGCGUUGUUCGGAAUUACUGGGCGUAAAGCGCACGUAGGCGGCUUUGUAAGUUAGAGGUGAAAGCCCGGGGCUCAACUCCGGAACUGCCUUUAAGACUGCAUCGCUUGAAUCCAGGAGAGGUGAGUGGAAUUCCGAGUGUAGAGGUGAAAUUCGUAGAUAUUCGGAAGAACACCAGUGGCGAAGGCGGCUCCCUGGACUGGUAUUGACGCUGAGGUGCGAAAGCGUGGGGAGCAAACAGG
rnacentral:rRNA from 1 species